ACUAACUAAACUACUAGGUGCACCUAUCAUUCGAGGACGAAUGAUCAUAAGAGGGGGAGGAUGUAACACCCCGUAUUCUACGUGUACUAGUCUUAUUUAUUUAAUGCUUAUUAACUUCCUUGUGGUAUAGUUAUGUAUUCGGUUUCAUAGGCAACUAGUGCCAAUAGAAUAGGUUUAAAGUGAACUGUCCAUAGAUUUUGAUGCAAGCCAAGUGAGUUGAUGUCGAUGGAGUUAUUUAAACUUGUGCAAGGUGGUAUUUGAGUCUAAAGUAUAAAGUGACGUAAUGUAUAUAAGUUCCAACUUAUGCUAAAGUUAUGAAGGUAUAGAAAUUGAAUAAAAUAUUGAGGUGCUUGCUUGACUUCACUAAGCUAGUAGGUGACAAGUAGGUGCAUCACCUACUUUGACUUAUUGACCAGACCAAGAUAGGUGCAUUACCUACUAAGACUCUUUUGACUGUGUUAUUGGGCCAAGUACACUACACCUAUCUGCACUAAUUUAGCCAUAGUUGAAUAGAAGAAUAUGGAGAAAAUGGACAUCCAAGGCCCAAUAUUCCCAAGCCCACAAGAAAUAAAUUAAUGGAAAACUAGGUGCAUCACCUACUUAAAUGUGUGGCCCAAAUUAUAGACACUUGUUGGCUGCAAAUGAAGUACAUGAAAGGUGGCAAAAGGGCCAAUGUUCUUAAGUCCAAAAAGUCCAAAUGAAAAGUCUAAGUAGGUGGGUCACCUACUUGACAAAUUAUGGCCCAAAAUGAGUGAGAAAGCCGGCCAAAGCAGGUCCCUUUAAAAGAGAUUGAUAUCACCUUUUUCCAACCAUUUUUACUUUGACAAAGAAAUCUAAUUUCUGGAGAUUUCUCUCUUCUCUCUCUUAGAUUCAUACAUCAGCCAUUAAAUUCCAUUAGGGUUCUUGAAUAAUAGGCUUUUCAAGCUAUUAGAAGGUAUAAUUUAAGACAAGUUAAGGAGGAUAAUACCUUGAAGAAUUCAAGUCUUAGCAAGUGGUAGUUAUGUCCAGCAAGGGAGUUUUGGGGAGGACCUGAUACGAAGGUUGUACAGUAUAUAGAUGCAAUUAAAGUUUAUUGUAGAUUAGUGAUUUUAAGAGAAGGAGCUUAAGUCAUACAUUUUGAAUUGUAUAGCAAGGUAUGUAAGGUUAUUCGAUUUCCUAUUUCUUUGGCAUGAAUCCAAAACAUGCAUUACAAAAAGUAAGCUUUCUAAGUGCCCUUGGUAGUGACUGAUCCAUAGUUGCAGUUCCUACUCCCUAGAGCAUUGAAGUGCGAACUCUAAUAUGAGUUUGUUACUAAAUGUUCGUGUUAACUCUACCAAGUGUUAGCAUGCAGUAUAUAAACUUGUGUCAUUAUCAAAGUACCCCUAGCACGUAUUUCCAUUAUAUAAGCUAAAGUGAUCCUAGAUUACACAUGGUACAUAUGUUUAUAGGAUGGAUAUAUGAUCUAUCCAUAUCUUGCCAACUUGCUUCAAUCGUUUAUAGAUAUGUCAUCUUGUCACACAUUCAUAUGUUCCCUUUCUUGUUAUUACUCCCAUUGUGUUAGACAAUAAUAUUACCUCACAUGAUCAUUACUUGCUCAAUUGUACGUUUAUAUGUACUUACUUGGAAUAUGUAUCUGUCCUUAAGUUGAAUCUGCCCUAUUUCCCCCUUGGUUCCACAUGCAUGAGCAUCUUGUAUUUGUAUCAUAUAGAGUUCAAAUCUCUUGGCUGAAUGUUAAAUUUUUUCACUGGAUGUGCUUCAAUUUGUGAUGUCAAAAUGCUUAUCGAGUCAUAUAAGCUCUUAAGUACUAUGUUCAAGUCAAAUUUGCUUCCCAUGUCAUUGUUAUUAUCGUAAGUCCAUAUUUAUAUGUCUUCUACUACUGGUUUGUAGUUCCAAAUCGAAAUAAGGAUUAUGACCACCAAAAUAGUACAUUUUUUCGUAGUGACAUCCCUUAUUGGGGACGCUGCAUUUCAUGCUACAGGUAUAAGUACUCAACUGGUAGAUUUUCCUAAUAUAAGCACAUUAUACUCAGUAGAUAUUGGUGAGCUUCAGGUUGAUUCGGGGCUUUUCCGAGUCUUUACUAUGCGUAUUUUCGUAGUGGUACCAUCAUGGAUUCCAGUAGAAGCUUUGUAGACAUUGUAAGGUUAUCAUCUGUAUUCAUAGUUUCACUUGUCACAUAUAGAGGUUCAUCUAGUCAAAAUGUGUUAUAUAUGAAGCUUCAUCAGUAAUCUGCAUAGUAGUUUAUUUUCUCAUCAUAGACUACUUGUAAAGCAUGUGUUCGUAAGGUACUUGACCGCCUCACCUAAGUUUGGGGGCUGACAUUACUCUUGGUGGAAAGCAAUGAUGGAAACUUUUAUUCAGGCUAAGGAUUAUGAACUUUGGAAUAUAGUUAUUGAUGGACCAGAAUACCCAACUUAAAAGGAUGCUAAAAAUAAUAACAUACAAAAGGAAAAGAGUGAAUACGAUGAGGGUGACUAUAAGAUUCUUGAAAAGAAUGCAAAAACUAAGUUUAUUCUUAUUUGUGGCAUUGUACCAGAUGAGUAUCUUCAAAUAUCUAGUUGCAUAAUUGCAAAACAAAUUUGGGAUACUAUAGGAUCAGAACAUCUUAUGAAAAGGUAGAUGAGAUUGCUCUCAUGGCUAUUGGAGAUUCACACGUGGAAGAAGAAGAAGAAAACUCUGAGGGUAGUAUCAUUGAUCUUAAGAAAAAUUUCAUCUAUUUUCAAAACAUAAAUUAAUUGAAUUGUUGAAUGGGUUAAUUGAUGAAUUUGAAGAAUUAACAUGUGAAAGAGAUUAGUUGUUUAAUGCCUUUACAGACCAAAAAUUUGAGUACAUGGAUCUCAAAGAUGACAAAACUGUAACUUGUAAAAAAAAUUAUUGUCUGAAGAAACAUAUUGAAAAACUUGAGUCAUCUAACCUAGAUCUAAAGUCGGAAAUUUUUAGGAUGACAGUUAUUGAAAAAGGAAAAGAAAAAUGAGUGGAAUUGAAGAAAAGCUGGAAAAAGAGUUGAAAAAAUGCACAAGUGACUAUUUUUUUAAAAAAAGAAAUGGUGAGGAAAUUAAACAUUGAAAUCUCUCAAAUAAAAGUUAAUCUUUAGAAGACAAAUAGAUGGACUCACUCAUCUAGAUUUGUUAACAAAUUGAGUGAUAGGGUGCACAAUGAGAAGGCUGGCAUAGGAUUCCAUAAAGAAAAUAUUAUCUCUGAAGAUUUAUGUUAUAUAUGUAGAAAAAUUGGUCAUUCAACUACUGAGUGUCCAGUUGCUAAUGAUUUUAGAAAAAGAAAUACUAAGUUUGCAAAUGGAAACAAAUUUAUGUCUGUUGGCAAAAACAGGUCCACUAACCUGGUUCUUAGAUGGACGAGAAGAAAUAUGAUUCACCCUUUUGAUCAUAAAAAAGGACCCAAGCUUGUCUGUGUUCCUAAGACUAACCUCUAAGCUAUUUUGCAAGUGAAGCAGAAAGGAAGUAAGUAAUGCAAUUCAUAAAUAUUGCUUGCUUAAGAGAUAUCAAUGCAAACAAACAAAAGUUACUUUCUCUCACUUCACAAAAGGGUAAAUGUGUCAUUUAAAAAGAAUAAGAAGAAAGAGUUAAUGCAUGUGUAAGGGGGAAUCCAAAAAAAAAGAAAAAAAAGUGAGGAUUAAAGUGAAACUGAUGAGAGUGCAUCGGAACACGUUGUACCACAUGUUUCAUUUGCUUAACAGACUAAGGGCAUAUUGAUAGGGGGAAUAAUGAAUCUUGAAACCGAUUUUUCUACAAAAGUAUGUGAUUGUUGGAUCACGUUGUUAUUUUUCAAACGACAAUUGAUGAAUUGUGGCACUAUGUAGGGAGCAUUAUGAAAAGAACAAGUUAGACUUGAGGAUGAUUAAGAUUGCAUGAACUUCCCUCAAUAAUUGGAUAGAAUAAUUGUUCUCCUAACUUUAUGAGCUAAAAUUUUAUUCAAUUCAGUCUUAAACAUUCAGUUGUGUGUCCCAAUUCCAGAUCCUUGACUUAUUU